rnacentral:rRNA from 1 species
AGAGUUUGAUCCUGGCUCAGAACGAACGCUGGCGGCAGGCCUCAAACAUGCAAGUCUAGGGGGCGUAGCAAUACGUCACCGGCGGACGGGUGCGUAACACGUGGGAAUAUACCUUUCGGUACGGAACAACUGAGGGAAACUUCAGCUAAUACCGUAUACGUCCUAACGGAGAAAGAUUUAUCGCCGAAGGAUUAGCCCGCGUUCGAUUAGCUAGUUGGUGAGGUAAUGGCUCACCAAGGCAACGAUCGAUAGCUGUUCUGAGAGGAAGAUCAGCCACACUGGGACUGAGACACGGCCCAGACUCCUACGGGAGGCAGCAGUUGGGAAUCUUGGACAAUGGGGGAAACCCUGAUCCAGCCAUGCCGCGUGAGUGAUGAAGGCCUUCGGGUUGUAAAGCUCUUUUACCCGGGAAGAUAAUGACUGUACCGGGAGAAUAAGCUCCGGCUAACUUCGUGCCAGCAGCCGCGGUAAUACGAAGGGGGCUAGCGUUGUUCGGAAUUACUGGGCGUAAAGCGCGCGCAGGCGGUUUCUCAAGUCAGUGGUGAAAGCCCGGAGCUCAACUCCGGAACUGCCAUUGAAACUGUGAAACUUGAGGACGAGAGAGGUGAGUGGAAUUCCCAGUGUAGAGGUGAAAUUCGUAGAUAUUGGGAAGAACACCGGUGGCGAAGGCGGCUCACUGGCUCGUUUCUGACGCUCAGGCGCGACAGCGUGGGGAUCAAACAGGAUUAGAUACCCUAGUAGUCC